UGUUUUUUUUUAACAACCAUCUUGCUUUAUGGAUAUGCGCCUGUGACCAUGAAUGUGCUAGUCUAAAUUUUCUUGUAGUAUAUAUUGAGGGUAGCAGCCUCUUUUAGACUAAGCAACGCCUAUCUGCCUGGGGCUUCUGAGCAGAGUAU